AGGAUAAACUUUGAACCAACACUUCCACAUUUAAAAUAAUUGCUGAAUAUUCUGAACUCAUUGGAAAUUCUCUUAGAAGAAAUGCUCCUGAUGAGUUAACUUCAUAUACCUUGUAUCAACAUGAGCCAAGCCAAGCAGCACAGAUGCUACGCGAAUAGGACUUAUGGACUCACCAUCGGUCGGCAGAUGGCUACUCUUCUCAUCCAGGUGGAGUACUGGAGUGGACAGGAGAGCACUCGGAGGUCGAUUCAUCACAUCUGAACAGCCACAAUAAAUCAACUGCUGGUGUAUUGAUCAUCACUGAGUUGAUCCACCAUCUACUGUAGACAAGCCUACAGUAAGCUGCCAGGAGCUGAAGUGUCAGAGACCGCUGGAAAAGGGUGACCCUGAAGCAUGAGGGCCAGACAUUGACUUAAGACCAUAUUAAUCUUUGUUUUAGGAAUAAUACCCCUCCCCUACUGAGACUGGAGGUGGCCUCUGGUGACACUACUCCUGUAAUACAACAAUAGGUUAGUUCACAUUUAGCAACCCAUUUCAGACCUGGCCCCCAGGGAGCAGAGGUGUGACCUGCUUAGUUUCUUAUUGUUGAAGGUGACAGCUUGUUUCAAGGCUAAACCGGAAGCUUUGAUCUGCGCGUACUGCAUAUGCUGAUCGACUGGAAGUGAUCUGAUUAUGUUCAUGUAUGCCACAUUCUCAGCUGCAGAACAAUACCCCUUUUGGCUGUUGUUUUUAAAAACCUCUGUGAUCCCCCCCCCCUCCCCGUUUAAUGCCAGGAUUGUUAACCGCUGCAGUCACUUGCUACUGACAAAACCUAUUUCCUCUCUGCAAUGUUUUUGUACGCAAACUUUGUAAUCUUGGAACCGUGUCAGUCGAAAUGUGUUGAAUGUGCCAGGAAAUGCAGCAGGAGGCCUGAAUCUCAUUUACCAUGACUUUAUUAAUAAAAAUCUCUCAGAG